rnacentral:rRNA from 1 species
CAGGGAAUAUUAGAAAUGGACGAAAGUCUGAUCUAGCAACACCGCGUGUGCGAAGAAGGCCUUCGGGUCGUAAAGCACUUUUUGGAAGGAAUAGGAAGGAAUGUACUUCCAGAAUAAGUCUCGGCUAACUACGUGCCAGCAGCCGCGGUAACACGUAGGAGGCGAACGUUAUCCGGAUUUACUGGGCGUAAAGCGUGUGUAGGCGGUUUGAUAAGUUGGAUGUGAAAGCUCCUGGCUUAACUGGGAGAGGUCGUUCAAAACUAUCAGACUUGAGAGUGGUAGAGGGAGGUGGAAUUCCGCAUGUAGUGGUGAAAUGCGUAGAUAUGCGGAGGAACACCAGUGGCGAAAGCGGCCUCCUGGCCCAUUUCUGACGCUCAGACACGAAAGCUAAGGUAGCAAACA